rnacentral:rRNA from 1 species
AUUGAACGCUGGCGGCAGGCCUAACACAUGCAAGUCGAACGAGUGGCGGACGGGUGUGUAAUGUCUGGGAAACUGCCCGAUGGAGGGGGCUCACUACUGGAAACGGUAGCUAAUACCGCAUACCAUCGGAUGUGCCCAGAUGGGAUUAGCUAGUAGGUGGGGUAAUGGCUCACCUAGGCGACGAUCCCUAGCUGGUCUGAGAGGAUGACCAUCCAAACUGGAACUGAGACACGGUCCAGACUCCUACGGUAGGCAGCGGUGGGGAAUAUUGCACAAUGGGCGGAAGACUGUUGCAGCCAGGCCGCGUGUAUGAAGAAGGCCUUCGGGUUGUAAAGUACUUUCAUCGGGGAGGCGUUAGCCGCAGAAGAAGCACCGGCUAACUCCGUGCGAGCAGCCGCGGUAAUAG